CGCAACGCCACGGCCGAGGAGCUGCGCCGCGCCUUCCUGAUGCCGGCCCCCACGCCGUCGUCCAGCCCGGUGCCCACGCUGGCGGCUGAGCAGCAGGAGAUGCUGGCGGCCUUCGCCCUGCAGUCCGGGAUGAACCUCGAGUGGUCCCAGAAGUGAGCGGCCGCCCCCUACCGCCCAGUUACCGCCCAGUUACCGCCCAGUGCAUCCCAGUUAUCUCCAAGUUACCUCCCAGUACAUCCCAGUUACCGCCCAGUGCCUCCCAGUUAUCUCCGAGUUACCUCCCAGUACAUCCCAGUUACCGCCCAGUGCCUCCCAGUUACCGCCCAGUUACCGCCCAGUGCCUCCCAGUUAUCUCCGAGUUACCUCCCAGUACAUCCCAGUUACCGCCCAGUGCCUCCCAGUUACCGCCCAGUUACCUCCCAGUACAUGCCAGUGCCUCCCAGUUAUCUCCGAGUUACCUCCCAGUACAUCCCAGUACAUCCCAGUACAUCCCAGUUACCGCCCAGUUACCGCCCAGUGCAUCCCAGUACAUCCCAGUUACCGCCCAGUUACCGCCCAGUGCCUCCCAGUACAUCCCAGUUACCGCCCAGUGCCUCCCAGUACAUCCCAGUUACCGCCCAGUUACCUCCCAGUGCCUCCCAGUACAUCCCAGUACAUCCCAGUUACCUCCCAAUGCCUCCCAGUACAUCCCAGUUACCGCCCAGUUACCUCCUAGUACAUCCCAGUUACCACCCAGUUACUUCCCAGUACAUCCCAGUACAUCCCAGUUACCGCCCAGUUACCUCCCAGUACCUCCAAAUAGAUCCCAGUUACCACCCAGUUACCUCCCAGUGCCUCCCAGUUACCUCCCAGUACAUCCCAGUACAUCCCAGUUACCUCCCAAUUACCUCCCAGUACAUCCCAGUACCUCCCAGUAGCUCUCCAUACCUCCCAGUUACCCCCAGUUACCUCCCAGUUAUCACCCAGUAGCUCCCAGUAGCUCCCAGUUACCUCCUAGUGCCUCCCAGUUACCCUGAGUAGCUCCCAGUUACCUCCCAGUUACCUCCCAGUGCCACCCAGUAACCCCCAAACCCCCACCAGUGCCUUCCAGUAACUCCCAGUUACCCCCACAGGUGCCUGCAGGACAACGACUGGGAUUACGGCCGGGCCGGGCAGGUCUUCACCCAGCUCAAGGUGGGAC
rnacentral:lncRNA from 1 species